AAUUCCCUGCGGUGUUCGUGAAGGCAUAUAUUUCCUUGAACCAAUAAGUUUGCUCCGGUUGUCGGGAGCAGUAGCAGGAGCGAGCGUUCUCUUCGUUAGAAUGCACCCGAAGCUACCCGAGACGACCACCUUGUUUGCAAGGUUCAAGCGGACUUCCGCCCAAGCGGCAUUCGCGGGGUUCUU
rnacentral:other from 3 species